CUCCCCACCCCCGCACAGAUGCUCACAUACAGUCAAGUCAACCCAGUUGGUAUUGACACCCAAGCCCUCCGAGUUCAAAGCAAGAGCCACCUCAGAGUUCCCACCAUCUAAAGAGGACCUUGGCUUUUUCCUUUGAAGUGUUUCCUUUGAAGGUCAAGGUAAAGGGGCCAUGUUGACUCAAGAAAUUGCUAAUCUAUAGAAAGAUGUGGCCUCUGCUCCAUCACACAUUUGUAAUGUUCACAUGAGGUUAACAAAACAAAUGGUUUUGACUGAAAUGCGUGAGCUUGGACCAGCCUUUCUUCUCAAACUGUCCCCAUCAUAGGAAUGUUUUAUCAGGAUAAGGUGAGAACCAGGAGAACGAAGAAUGCACCAGGAUCUCAACGUGAACAAGACACUCCUGUUCCAGUGAUCAGCCAUCUGCCAUCAGCCAACACCUCAGCUUGUACUAUGCAAGUAGCUCACCCUGGGAAGUUGAAAGCAGAUCCCAGAAAAAACUAGACAGUAGGCAGUGGAGUAGGUUUUGGGUGAAGAUCUCCUGGCCUGCUGCCUAUGAUAUAUCAUUACUGUUGUUACGAAAGAGCAAAAAUAUGCUUUGACUAUUUCCUUCAACCAUCAAACCUUCAGGGCAGGAGGAAAGACCCGGAUGAACUGCUCAGCAGAGAAAGGUAGAAUGUCCUGGAAAUGCAUUCCCAGGCCAAAGGAGACCCAGCAAAAAUAAAGCAGCCAAUUUCUCCCUCACAUCCCCUCCCCCAAACCUGCAAUCAGCAAUAAUUUUAGAGAA
ensembl:lncRNA